rnacentral:rRNA from 1 species
GACGUAGGACGCGAGCGUUGCCCGGAUUUAUUGGGCGUAAAGAGCUCGUAGGCGGCUUGUCGCGUCGUCCGUGAAAACCUGCAGCUCAACUGCAGGCUUGCGGUCGAUACGGGCAGGCUAGAGUUCGGUAGGGGAGACUGGAAUUCCUGGUGUAGCGGUGAAAUGCGCAGAUAUCAGGAGGAACACCGGUUGGCGAAGGCGGGUCGCUGGGGCCGAUACUG